UUAUAAGCCAGGUUGUAGCGGCAGCCCCGAGGUAGGAGGGCUAUAGCUGAAAGCGGGACUAUCG
rnacentral:misc_RNA from 1 species